UAUAAAUAUUGCCUUUGUGAAUUGUAGAGCGUAGAAUGUUUCUAAGCUCCCCCUAUCAUCUCCGUCCCUGAGGUUAUCGCAGAUUAGAAGGUGAAAAAAAAGCACUCGCGAUGACAUGUUUUCCGAGAUCAUGCAGUCCUCCCGAUAGGGCACAGCCUAAUGCAUGGAGGGAUGCAGUGGCAGAGGCCAGGAAAGAAUUAAGUGAGCACGAAGAGUGGAGGCAG